rnacentral:rRNA from 1 species
UACGUAGGGUGCAAGCGUUGUCCGGAAUUAUUGGGCGUAAAGAGCUCGUAGGCGGUUUGUCGCGUCUGCUGUGAAAACUCGGGGCUUAACUCCGGGCCUGCAGUGGGUACGGGCAGACUAGAGUGCGGUAGGGGAGACUGGAAUUCCUGGUGUAGCGGUGAAAUGCGCAGAUAUCAGGAGGAACACCGGUGGCGAAGGCGGGUCUCUGGGCCGUAACUGACGCUGAGGGGCGAAAGCGUGGGGAGCAAACAGG